UCUAUGCUCUGUGUGGGACUUAAACUCAUGGCCCCAAGAUCAAGCAUCGCAUGCUGCACUGAGUGAGCCAGCCAGGUGCCUUAUGAGGAUUAGGUGAAGAAUUAUUUAGAUGUUUUAAUAUCAGAAACAUAGUCAGAACAGAAAAGCGACUCUCAAGUUCUGCCUACCUGCUAAAAUUCAUGACUAAGAAGAAUUAUAAUUUUUCUGAGCUAGAACAUUGAACCAAUCAAGGACACGAGAUACCACCAGGGGACAGUAGAGUCUCUGCCACCAACAGAAAUCAUCACACAAACAGAAAUAGUGCAGUGAACUUUGUGCUUGAGAGCUCCCAAAAUGAUAAGAAUCUUCUUCCAGGAGCUGGAAGUGAUUUGAUCAAAAAAGGAUAUUGAUUAUUAAUUUACAACAACACCAGGAAUUAUUUCAACAUUACUCAACAACAAUUCCCCAUUAUGCUAGAGAAGACAACAUAAGAAGACAACAAUUUGGAAUUGCCUAGAACAUUGAUUCAAUAGUAAAACAAAUCAUCACUAUUACAUCAUUCUUGUAUUAUCUUAUUAUA